GAUGAAGAACGUAGCGAAAUGCGAUACUUGGUGUGAAUUGCAGAAUCCCGUGAACCAUCGAGUCUUUGAACGCAAGUUGCGCCCGAAGCCAUUAGGCCGAGGGCACGCCUGCCUGGGCGUCACACGUCGUUGCCCCCCCAUCUACUCCUUCGGGAUUGCGGGGCGGAUGAUGGCCUCCCGUGCGCCUCGUCGCGCGGUUGGCAUAAAUGCCAAGUCCUCGGCGACGCACGCCACGACAAUCGGUGGUUGCGAAACCUCGGUUGCCCGUCGUGUGCGGUCGUCGCGCAUCGAGGGCUCGAAAAAAUUGCCGGGCUCCGGCUCGGCUUUCAACGCGACCCCAGGUCAGGCGGGGUUACCCGCUGAAUUUAAGCAUAUCAAUAAGCGGAGGA
rnacentral:misc_RNA from 1 species